GUGGGGAAUAUUGGACAAUGGGCGAAAGCCUGAUCCAGCCAUGCCGCGUGUGUGAAGAAGGUCUUCGGAUUGUAAAGCACUUUAAGUUGGGAGGAAGGGUAGUAACCUAAUACGUUGCUACUUUGACGUUACCGACAGAAUAAGCACCGGCUAACUUCGUGCCAGCAGCCGCGGUAAUACGAAGGGUGCAAGCGUUAAUCGGAAUUACUGGGCGUAAAGCGCGCGUAGGUGGUUCAGUAAGUUGGAAGUGAAAUCCCCGGGCUCAACCUGGGAACUGCUUUCAAAACUGCUGAGCUAGAGUACGGUAGAGGGUGGUGGAAUUUCCUGUGUAGCGGUGAAAUGCGUAGAUAUAGGAAGGAACACCAGUGGCGAAGGCGACCACCUGGACUGAUACUGACACUGAGGUGCGAAAGCGUGGGGAGCAAACAGGAUUAGAAACCCCGUAGUCC
rnacentral:rRNA from 1 species